UGAAUACGAGACGCUAAGGCGUCGAAGUAGUGUAUGUCAUACUUCUAAGAAAAGCUUGCACUGUCAUAGAUAAAAAACGCCUGUACCAUAACCGACACAGGUGGGUAGGUAGAGUAUACUAAGGGGCGCGAGACAACUCUCUCUAAGGAACUCGGCAAAAUAACUCCGUAACUUCGGGAGAAGGAGUGCCUUAUUCGUAAGGUUGCAAUAACAAGAUCCAAGCAACUGUUUAUCAAAAACACAGGUCUCCGCUAAGUCGUAAGACGAUGUAUGGGGGCUGACGCCUGCCCAGUGCCAGAAGGUUAAAGAAGUUGGUUAGCAAUUGCGAAGCUGAUAACUGAAGCCCUGGUGAACGGCGGCCGUAACAAUAACGGUCCUAAGGUAGCGAAAUUCCUUGUCGGGUAAGUUCCGACCCGCACGAAAGGCGUAAUGAUUUGGAUACUGUCUCGGAGAGGGGCUCGGUGAAAUAGACUUGUCUGUGAAGAUGCGGACUACCUGCACCAGGACAGAAAGACCCUAUGAAGCUUUACUGUAACUUGAAAUUGAAAUUGGACUUUAUUCGCGCAGUAUAGGUGGGAGGCGUUGAUUAUAAUCUUGUGGGAUUAUUGGAGCCAUCAGUGAGAUACCACUCUUGUAAUGUUAGAUUUCUAACUUUGAAUCAUUAUCUGGUCAAAGAACAGUUUCAGGCGGGCAGUUUGACUGGGGCGGUCGCCUCCUAAACGGUAACGGAGGCGUACAAAGGUUUCCUCUGAACGGUUAGAAAUCGUAUCUAGAGUGUAAAGGCAUAAGGAAGCUUGACUGUGAGACCUACAAGUCGAGCAGGGACGAAAGACGGUCUUAGUGAUCUGACGGCACUGAGUGGAAAGGCCGUCACUCAACGGAUAAAAGUUACUCUAGGAUAACAGGCUGAUCUCCCCCAAGAGUUCACAUCGACGGGGAGGUUUGGCACCUCGAUGUCGGCUCAUCGCAUCCUGGGGCGGUAGUACGUCCCAAGGGUUGGGCUGUUCGCCCAUGAAAGCGGUACGCGAGCUGGGUUCAGAACGUCGUGAGACAGUUCGGUCCAUAUCCGGUGUAGGCGUUAGAAUAUUGAGAGGAGCCUUCUUUAGAGCGAGAGGACCGAGAAGGACAUACCUCUGGUGUACCAGUUAUCGUGCCAACGGUAAACGCUGGGUAGCUAUGUAUGGAGUGGAUAACCGCUGAAAGCAUCUAAGUGGGAAGCCCACCUCAAGAUAAGUAUUCUCAUC
rnacentral:rRNA from 1 species